CUACGGGCGGCUCCAGUGGGGAAUAUUGCACAAUGGGGGGAACCCUGAUGCAGCAAUGCCGCGUGAAGGAUGAAGGUUUUCGGAUUGUAAACUUCUUUCGCUGGGGAAGAAAAAAAUGACGGUACCCAGAUAAGAAGCCCCGGCUAACUAUGUGCCAGCAGCCGCGGUAAUACAUAGGGGGCAAGCGUUAUCCGGAAUUACUGGGUGUAAAGGGUGCGUAGGCGGCGAUGCAAGUCAGGUGUGAAAGCCCGAAGCUCAACUUCGGGACUGCACUUGAAACUGUGUUGCUAGAGUACAGGAGAGGUAAGCGGAAUUCCUAGUGUAGCGGUGAAAUGCGUAGAUAUUAGGAAGAACACCAGUGGCGAAGGCGGCUUACUGGACUGUAACUGACGCUGAGGCACGAAAGCGUGGGGAGCGAACAGGAUUAGAUACCCCAGUAGUC
rnacentral:rRNA from 1 species